AUCCAGCUGACGAGUCCCAAAUAGGACGAGACGCACAUCCUGGAU
rfam:Schistosoma margrebowiei strain Zambia genome assembly, scaffold: SMRZ_contig0003382